rnacentral:piRNA from 1 species
AAUCCUGGAGUAAAAAAGAAGCUGAAAUG